UUCUAACGGUUCUUCCUUUAUUGUUCCUGUGGUUUGUAGUCAUCUAGUUGCUAGUCUGCCUCUUCUACAUUUUCCCUGAAAUUUUCCUAACAUUAGUGAUUUCUCCAGAAAAUUUGUCCUUGUGCCAAGGUGGACUUGGGCACGAGCUACCCGAAGGUCAAAAUGCCAUCAGUGACGUAACCUCUCUGGCCAGAGGAGGCGGGACGGGAAGAUAGGUGUCCCUCACCUCCGUGCCCGCCCAAUAAGUUAUCCAACGGACAUCAGCAAGAAGAUUUCGCAUCUCUAGCCCUUUCCUUGGGAAUCCUGCUUGAUCAUCAGGCAAUUCACUUUCACUGUAGUUCUCCAUGUGAUUCUGUAUAACCUGUUGCAGUACCCUGGUAGCUGGUGUGUUUAAGGUAACUCUACGAUAACUUUUGGUGGGAGGGGGAGGGGCCUUGGAGAGUACAGUUUAACAAUAAAGAGAGACCUUCCUUGCCCA